rnacentral:rRNA from 1 species
AUUGAACGCUGGCGGCAGGCCUAACACAUGCAAGUCGAACGCGUGGCGGACGGGUGAGUAAUGUCUGAGAAACUGCCUGCUGGAGGGGGAUAACUCCUUGAAAAGGUAGCUAAUACCGCAUACCCUCAGAUGUGCCCAGAUGUGAUUAUCUUUUUGGUUGGGUAACGGCUCACCAAGGCGACGACCCCUAGCUGGGCUGAGAGGAUGACCAGCCACACUGGAACUGAGACACGGUCCAGACUCGUACGGGAGGCAGCAGUGGGGAAUAUUGCACAAUGGGCGCAAGCCUGAUGCAGCCAUGCCGCGUGUAUGAAGAAGGCCUUCGGGUUGUAAAGUACUUUCAGCGGGGAGGCGUUACCCGCAGAAGAAGCACCGGCUAACUCCGUGCCAGCAGCCGCGGUAAUUC